rnacentral:rRNA from 1 species
UACGGGGGGGCAAGGCGUUGUUCGGAAUUAUUGGGCGUAAAAGAGCUUGUAGGCGGUUUGUCGCGUCUGCGUGUGAAAAUCCGGGGCUCAACCCCGGACGUUGCAGUGGGUACGGGCAGACUAGAGUGUGGUAGGGGAGACUGGAAAUUCCUGGUGUAGCGGUGGAAUGCGCAGAUAUCAGGAGGAACACCGAGUGGCGAAGGCAGGUCUCUGGGACGGUACUGACGCUGGAGACGCGAAAGCGUGGGGAGCGAACAGG